GUCCGCAACGAGCGCAACCCCUAUUGUUAGUUGCCAUCAUUCAGUUGGCACUCUAGCGAGACUGCCGGUAAUAAACCGGAGGAAGUGGGGAUGACGUCAAAUCAUCAUGCCCCUUAUGACCUGGGCUACACACGUGCUACAAUGGUUGGUACAACGAGUUGCGAGUCGGUGACGGCGAGCUAAUCUCUUAAAGCCAAUCUCAGUUCGGAUUGUAGGCUGCAACUCGCCUACAUGAAGUCGGAAUCGCUAGUAAUCGCGGAUCAGCACGCCGCGGUGAAUACGUUCCCGGGCCUU
rnacentral:rRNA from 1 species